CCUACGGGAGGCAGCAGUUAUUACUAUUUUUCCCUUUCCUCUCUUCUUCCCCCGCCCCGUCGCGUGCGGGAAGACGGCCCUACGGGUUGUAAACCUCUUUUGUCGGGGAGCAAAGCGAACCACGUGUGGUUCAUUGAGAGUACCCGAAGAAAAAGCAUCGGCUAACUCCGUGCCAGCAGCCGCGGUAAUACGGAGGAUGCGAGCGUUAUCCGGAUUUAUUGGGUUUAAAGGGUGCGCAGGCGGAGGUGCAAGUCAGCGGUCAAAUUGCGGGGCUCAACCCCGUACUGCCGUUGAAACUGCAUCCCUUGAGUGCGCGAGAAGUAUGCGGAAUGCGUGGUGUAGCGGUGAAAUGCAUAGAUAUCACGCAGAACUCCGAUUGCGAAGGCAGCAUACCGGCGCGCAACUGACGCUCAUGCACGAAAGCGUGGGUAUCGAACAGGAUUAGAUACCCGUGUAGUC
rnacentral:rRNA from 1 species